rnacentral:rRNA from 1 species
GUCAGAAGCCAUACAACCUGCAGUUCAGACUGGGUGAUCCCUCUGAAGCUAAGCAGAUUUGGGCCUGGUCAUUAGUUGGAUGGGAAACCAACUAUGAAAGCUGGGUUGCUGCUGGAC